CGUGGGUAACCUGCCCAAGAGACUGGGAUAACACCUGGAAACAGAUGCUAAUACCGGAUAACAACACUAGACGCAUGUCUAGAGUUUAAAAGAUGGUUCUGCUAUCACUCUUGGAUGGACCUGCGGUGCAUUAGCUAGUUGGUAAGGUAACGACUUACCAAGGCAAUGAUGCAUAGCCGAGUUGAGAGACUGAUCGGCCACAUUGGGACUGAGACACGGCCCAAACUCCUACGGGAGGCAGCAG
rnacentral:rRNA from 1 species